CCCACUAGGGACAAGGGUGUAAGAAAAUGGAUCGAUGGAUGGAUUAAUGGAUACUUAUUUGCUUUAAAAUCACUAAAAAUAGAACCGUUGUCACUCAACUUUUCACAAACAGAAAUGCAGACACAUUGGAUCCCAGCACCUCCACUCGAUUUCAGCAACUCAUCUGAACAGUCCUGGCUCCGAAUCCAUUCAGUGCGAUUUUAAUAAUCCAAUUCAAGGCAACAUUCAUCAGGAGAAAAGUAUUUUUGCGACCGCCUUUAGGUGGAAAGGCUUUAGAGUUAUUUUGCUAGAGAGCGAGUUUACAAAGCCAAGUAGUAACUCUGCAAUGCCGCCGAUGCAUUAUCAAGAUAGACACUCCGAUGUUUGAGGAAUUUAAAUGUGUCAAUGAAGCUCCUGUAUCUGCAACAUCAAAGUUUUAAACAUGUCAGAUGGCGAAAGCUACUGUUAUUUUACUUCUACUUUCUCAGUAGAAGCAACCUGCUGACAGACCAAUUACAGUGUGUCUUGAACCGAGUUCCUUGGUUGAACGAUGCGUUUUUACACCAUUUCUAAGCUGUCAGUGCGAGUAUGAACUGAUCCAGGGAGGCAUCCAGGUUCAGUUCUAUCAGGGGCAAAAUAACCAGGCAAAUCCCCGUCAGUCAGUCCUUUGAUUGGUAGAAAACAAACUAGUGGCUACUAUGGUGGAUAGUAAAACUAAUUAAAUGAAGAAAAGACAUAAACAUGCAACCACUGGAGGAUAUACAAUGCAACAUUACAAGCCAAAUCGAACAAUAGCUGCUGAAUACGUUUGCUUGGAUCAGAUCUUUAACGGUAAGAAAACAUUUUGUUUGUUUUUAUGAUUUCUGGCUCAACAGAAUUCAAGGCAUUUGUUUUCCUCAAGGUUUUAAAAACUUCCUGAAAUGUCAAAAACAGUAAUAGGUACCAAAUAUUUCUCUUAGUUUCGACAUCAAGUUUAAAAAGUUCGUACUGUGACGACUUCAUGUCAGAUUCAUCCAUUUUUACCAAUACAUUUAGUUAAAUUAAUUUUUUGUUCUUUUGAGAACAAAAAAUAUAUAUAUAAAAUGCUCGGAGCAUCCUUAAAGGACAAAGAUGUAUAUUCUUUGUACACUUUUCACCAGUGAAAUCCAAGUUUCUGAUUCAAUACUCAUAUCUUGAAGUCGCUAUUAGACAAACGUUGUCAUUUUGUUUCAUUUUGCAACCGAUAUUCUACUGGGAUUCGACUGGAGUGGCAGAAUCCGUCCCUCUUUGCGUUUCCCGCUCCCCCACCUGAAGCCAUGUAAUCUAAAUGAAUCCAAACGAACACUGGCGUGACAUUUUAAUCUGGCUUCCGGAGGCAGAACCCAGAUGUCGAAUUACGUGACCUUUAACGGUGGACUCGGCAGAGAAAGAAGCGGACGCAUUUAGACACUCACUUAAACUUGCUGUGUCAAUUUAGAAUCACCUGAAUGCUAACGAUUCCUGCAGGGAGUUGCUCGAUUAGUCCGCCGACGUGACAGACGCACCUCGGCGUCGCUUUGGUCGAGCUUGUGUGCGUCAGCGAGCGGCGAGCUGCGGUGAGGGAGAAACGUGUUCCUGCUGCUGCAGCAAGUCGUUUCACUCAGUUUAUUUGUUCCAGGAGUCUCCACAAACCAAUGAUGGGACAUGUAGCAGCAAGAUGACUUGAUACGACCCAUUGUGCACCAUAUUUAGUAAAUUGAUGAGGUAGCUUAAAAAUACAUUUUGAAAAUAACCUCUAAACAGGUGUUAGACAUACUUAUCAUUAGUGGUGAUCGAUGCUGCAUAUUUUGAUAUCGAUCCAAUACCAUAUAAAGUAUCGUCGAUAUUGAUUGAUACCAGUAUCGAUACUAAUUGUUUAACUCUGAAACCAUCAAACAUCUGACCUCUAGGCAAUUUUGUGUUUUUUCUCCUGGAUUAAAAAAAUUAAUUAGGACAGAAAUUUAGGUAAAGUCUCAACACAAUAAUUUCAUAACAUAUAUUCAGAUGGUAAACAGAAACAUUACGAAAACAAAGCAUUUUUUGCGUUGUUUUCUAAUUAAACAAACUGGAAAAAUUAUAAUUUAAGAGUGGAUGAACGCAAAAUCUUUUUUGUUGUACAGUUGAGAAACUACAGUACAAGCUUCCUGCCCACCUUUAAAUCUCACUGAGGCAUUAUUGUUAAUGGAAAUAUAGGCUUGAAAACAUCAAUCUGUGCAUAAUUCAUCUACACAAUAUGUUUCACUUAGUCAUUUUUGUUAUUAAAAUCAAAGACAUUUUCAAGAAUAUUCUAAUUUGUUAAAUAUGACUGCAUAGCCGUGCCUGCUUGUGGAGGAGGAGUUUCGCAGUAUCUCUGAACUUCGGUUUUGUGUGUAGGGUAUUUCCGAGGUCGUUGUAUCAUUGACACGGUAACUCUACAAAACUGGCUCACAAUUUUUUGUGAGCCAGUUUCCCAUAGUUGUUUAAAACAGCCCACCUUCUUUCACAACAACACAAACCUAUGAAAUAAUGGUGAGGAACUUUGCAGUUUCUGCAUGUGACCUGUCUCCAAGAGAGACCAGCUAAUGAAAGGGACACACUUUCAAAUGAACGGCUGUGUUUUUUCGUUUUUUGGGGGGGGGGUUUGUUUGUCUAUAAUGUAAAGUUAUUUGAAAACUUUUGUGCUGUGCAAUGUGAAAUUCAUGGAGUAUUGUACUUUUAAAUGUGCCUGAAAAGAAAAGGAAAAAAAACAACAACCUGUUUUGAUCAUUUCCUUAAAACUGUCUCAGUGCAGUGGGUGAAAGUUAAAUGCUAAGGUAGAAUAGAUGAGAAUAUUUGGAACCAAAAAGCUGUUUCAAGUUUGUGGUUUGUAAAGUACCUCACAGGUUCACGCACAUUUUGAUUUCUGUUCGUUUGAUUUCUGUUCGUAAUAAUAAUUAUUAUUAUUUUCCUACUUUUGACAAAUAGCAAACAGCUGUGAUCGGAGAUAUUUUGUGUUCUGCAUGCAGGUUGCUGCAAAAAAAAAAACACACGACUUGCAACACGGGCAAGCCCACACACACACCCACACACACUACGUGAGCAAAUCCAGUGACUUUUUGCACGUUUGUAGUUUUCCUCUGCUGCUUCAUGGAUUGUUUGAAUAUUUUGUAUUGUUUAUUUGUCAAUAAUAAAGAGCAAUUACAUCUUA